UACGGGGGGAGCAAGCGUUGUUCGGAUUUACUGGGCGUAAAGGGCGCGUAGGCGGCCACCGCAAGUCGACUGUGAAAUCUCCGGGCUUAACCCGGAAAGGUCAGCCGAUACUGCGGGGCUAGAGUGCAGAAGGGGCAACUGGAAUUCUCGGUGUAGCGGUGAAAUGCGUAGAUAUCGAGAGGAACACCGGUGGCGAAGGCGGCCUUCUGGACAGUGACUGACGCUGAGACGCGAAAGCGUGGGGAGCAAACAGG
rnacentral:rRNA from 1 species